rnacentral:rRNA from 1 species
CCUGACUGCUAUCGGAUUGAUACUAAGCCAUGCGAGUCAUUGUAGCAAUACAAGGCAUACUGCUCAGUAACACGUGGAUAACCUGCCCUACACUGGGGGAUAAUCUCGGGAAACUGAGCAUAAUACCCCAUAGACCACUACGCCUGGAACGGUGAGUGGUUGAAAGCUUCGGCGGUGUAGGAUGGGUCUGCGGCGUAUCAGGUUGUAGGGGGUGUAAUGGACCUCCUAGCCAUCGACGCGUACGGGUUGUGGGAGCAAUAGCCCGGAGACGGAUUCUGAGACACGAAUCCGGACCCUACGGGGUGCAGCAGGCGCGAAAACUUCACACUGCAGGAAACUGUGAUGAGGGAACUCCAAGUGACUGCACAAUGUGUAGCCUUUUCUUGAAUUUUAAUAGUUCUUGGAAUAAGGGCUGGGAAAGACCGGUGCCAGCCGCCGCGGUAAUACCGGCAGCUCGAGUGGUCGUCGCUUUUAUUGGGCCUAAAACGUCCGUAGCCUGUUUGGUAAAUCUGUGGGUAAAUCAAUCCUCUUAAGGGAUUGAAUUCUGCAGAGACUGCCAGACUAGGGACCGGGAGAGGUAUGAGGUACUCUGGGGGUAGGGGUAAAAUCCUGUCAUCCCCAGAGGACCACCUGUUGCGAAGGCGUCAUACUGGAACGGAUCCGACGGUCAGGGACGAAGCCUAGGGGCACGAACCGGAUUAGAUACCCGGGUAGUCCUAGGUGUAAACGCUGUGGAUUUGGUGUGUGGGGUCCGCAAUGGGCCCCAAGUGCCGCAGGGAAGCCGUUAAGUUUGCCGCCUGGGAAGUACGUACGCAAGUAUGAAACUUAAAGGAAUUGGCGGGGGGGCACCACAAGGGGUGAAGCCUGCGGUUCAAUUGGAGUCAACGCCAGAAAUCUUACCCGGAGAGACAGCAGAAUGAAGGUCAAGCUGAAGACUUUACCAGACAAGCUGAGAGGUGGUGCAUGGCCGUCGCCAGCUCGUGCCGUGAGAUGUCCUGUUAAGUCAGGUAACGAGCGAGAUCCCUGCCUCUAGUUGCCACCAUUACUCUCAGGAGUAGUGGGGCGAAUUAGCGGGACCGCCGCAGUUAAUGCGGAGGAAGGAAGGGGCCACGGCAGGUCAGUAUGCCCCGAAACUCUGGGGCCACACGCGGGCUGCAAUGGUAACGACAAUGUGUUCCGAAUCCGAAAGGAAGAGGUAAUCCUCAAACGUUACCACAGUUAUGACUGAGGGCUGCAACUCGCCCUCACGAAUAUGGAAUCCCUAGUAACUGCGUGUCAUUAUCGCGCGGUGAAUACGUCCCUGCUCCUU